rnacentral:lncRNA from 1 species
GAGAUAUAGUAUAAACAGGUUAUAGAAAUCAAUAGUGUUAGUGAUCCUUCUAGGAAGGGGCUAGGGUUUUAUUUAUGUUCGUCUUGUUCCAAAGACACGCCAGCAACGCAUGUCAAUUUUGCCGUAGAUGAAGAAGUGUCAUGAAAUUUAGGAUGUAUAGAUAAAGUCAAAAGUCUGUCCGCGGUUGAUGAUGGAGAAAACUAGAGUGAAACUCAAAUCUAUAGUGAUUUGGAUUCUUAGAUUCUUUUACGAGAGACCUUGAAAUCUGUUGGAUCCAGAAGGCUUUAAGAUGG